CGCGGCCUAUCAGCUUGUUGGUGGGGUAAUGGCCUACCAAGGCUUCGACGGGUAGCCGGCCUGAGAGGGUGACCGGCCACACUGGGACUGAGACACGGCCCAGACUCCUACGGGAGGCAGCAGUGGGGAAUAUUGCGCAAUGGGCGAAAGCCUGACGCAGCGACGCCGCGUGGGGGAUGACGGCCUUCGGGUUGUAAACCUCUUUCAGCAGGGACGAAGCGGAAGUGACGGUACCUGCAGAAGAAGCACCGGCCAACUACGUGCCAGCAGCCGCGGUAAUACGUAGGGUGCAAGCGUUGUCCGGAAUUAUUGGGCGUAAAGAGCUCGUAGGCGGUCUGUCACGUCGGAUGUGAAAACUCGGGGCUCAACCCCGAGCCUGCUUUCGAUACGGGCAGACUGGAGGUAUGCAGGGGAGAACGGAAUUCCUGGUGUAGCGGUGAAAUGCGCAGAUAUCAGGAGGAACACCGGUGGCGAAGGCGGUUCUCUGGGCAUGACCUGACGCUGAGGAGCGAAAGUGUGGGGAGCGAACAGGAUUAGAUACCCUGAUAGUCCCAGCCGUAAACGUUGGGUGCUAGGUGUGGGGCGGUCUUCAACCCGUUCUGUGCCGAAGCUAACGCAUUAAGCACCCCGCCUGGGGAGUACGG
rnacentral:rRNA from 1 species